GAUUCAUGAUAACUUCACGGAUCGCAUGGCCUUGCGCCGGCGACGGUUCAUUCAAAUUUCUGCCCUAUCAACUUUCGAUGGUAAGGUAUUGGCUUACCAUGGUUUCAACGGGUAACGGGGAAUUAGGGUUCGAUUCCGGAGAGGGAGCCUGAGAAACGGCUACCACAUCCAAGGAAGGCAGCAGGCGCGCAAAUUACCCAAUCCCGACACGGGGAGGUAGUGACAAUAAAUACUGAUACAGGGCUCUUUUGGGUCUUGUAAUUGGAAUGAGUACAAUUUAAACCUCUUAACGAGGAACAAUUGGAGGGCAAGUCUGGUGCCAGCAGCCGCGGUAAUUCCAGCUCCAAUAGCGUAUAUUAAAGUUGUUGCAGCUAAAAAGCUCGUAGUUGAAACUUGGGCCUGGCUGGCAGGUCCGCCUCACCGCGUGUACUUGUCCGGCCGGGCCUUUCCUUCUGGAGAACCUCAUGCCCUUCACUGGGUGUGUUGGGGAACCAGGACUUUUAC
rnacentral:rRNA from 1 species